rnacentral:rRNA from 1 species
GACGAACCGUGCGACCGUUAUUCGGAAUCACUGGGCUUAAAGCGCGUGUAGGCGGGACGGCACGUCUGUCGCUGAAAUCCCCCGGCUUAACCGGGGAACUGGCGGAGAUACGACCGUCCUGGAGGGGCGUAGGGGGACCUGGAACUUCCGGUGGAGCGGUGAAAUGCGUUGAGAUCGGAAGGAACGCCCGUGGCGAAAGCGAGGUCCUGGACGCCUACUGACGCUGAGACGCGAAAGCCAGGGGAGCGAACGGG